rnacentral:misc_RNA from 1 species
CUUGAUAUCCACUGUGGAAUUCGCCCUUUGGCUACGCGAGCGCAUGAGCUAUUUUGGAGUCGUGUCUGCUGGUAGGCCCCCAUCUUCAUGCGGCCAACUACCGGCACCGUGUCUUGUCAUUCGUGUGACUUAUGUUAUUGUUGCCUUUCACGUGCUUGCGUGCUGUUACCUGACCUACGGGUAGUGGUGCUUCAUACAAAGUUGUCUCGUGGUGGACGCCUUAGGGUGUGCUAUUGUGGCCAUAUAGCGCUUGCGGCGUUGCCUCGUGGUGCUGGCAUGUUUUCUUGCCUGGUACUACCAAGGCAGCCUCGCUCCCGCCGUUGGUUUUCGAUGUUGCUCAUGAUAAAGGCUCGCGGCCCUUUUGGUUUCCUCGACCUAACCGUAAAAAUGCUCUCCGAAAUUGAGAACAACCGGAACAUGUGUUGCCUCUACCUCUCCACAGUUAGUGGUGGGAUACGCAACGUACUGUGUCGAUCCUCGUACAAGUAGUACGCGCUAGGCCCGCUCAAUUGCAACAACUGGCCCAGCUGAUGCCUCUGCCUUGCCACGCAAGUGGACGGGUAGACAACUACCGACACUGGAUUUCAAAGAGGAUGUGCUACCUGGUUGAUCCUGCCAGUAGUCAUAUGCUUGUCUAAGGGCGAAUUCCACAUU